UGAGGAAUAUUGGUCAAUGGGCGGGAGCCUGAACCAGCCAAGCCGCGUGAGGGAGGAAGGCCCUAUGGGUCGUAAACCUCUUUUGUCAGGGAACAAAAGCGAGUAUGUAUACUAGUCUGAGUGUACCUGAAGAAAAAGCAUCGGCUAACUCCGUGCCAGCAGCCGCGGUAAUACGGAGGAUGCGAGCGUUAUCCGGAUUUAUUGGGUUUAAAGGGUGCGUAGCGGCGGUGCAAGUCAGCGGUAAAAGCCCGGGGCUCAACCCCGGCGAGCCGUUGAAACUGCAGUGCUAGAGAAGGCGAGAGGUACGCGGAAUGCGCAGUGUAGCGGUGAAAUGCUUAGAUAUUGCGCAGAACUCCGAUUGCGAAGGCAGCGUACUGGCGCCUGACUGACGCUGAGGCACGAAACGCGUGGGGAUCGAACAGGAUUAGAUACC
rnacentral:rRNA from 1 species